AUCACUUCUUGGCCUCUUGGUUAAGAUCAAGUGUAGUAUCUGAUCUCUACAUGACCUAAAAUGCAUGUUUAGCUCCAGUAUACCAUGU
rnacentral:snRNA from 2 species